rnacentral:rRNA from 1 species
UACGAAGGGGGCUAGCGUUGCUCGGAAUUACUGGGCGUAAAGCGCACGUAGGCGGCUUUCUAAGUCGGGGGUGAAAUCCUGGAGCUCAACUCCAGAACUGCCUUCGAUACUGGAGAGCUUGAGUCCGGGAGAGGUGAGUGGAACUGCGAGUGUAGAGGUGAAAUUCGUAGAUAUUCGCAAGAACACCCAUGGCGAAGGCAGCAAACUGGUCAUCAACUGACGCUGAGGCGCGAAAGCGUGGGUAGCAAACAGG